CUUCUUCUCUUUCUUCUUUAAUUGAACAUUAAAUAACAGUGCAAGACAAAACAAAGGUCACACGUUGGGCUUUUUCUUACAAGUUAAAGGGUGGAACGGUUGAAUAUUUACAUGGACUACAGAUUCAAGGGAUUUUUUUUAUGGAGAGCAGUGAAGGAGGGGAUGAUAAUGUUCUGGACGGUUUAGCAAGUCAAAAAAGGUUAUCUUUGUGAACUCUUUACCCUUUCUUCCAUAUUUUUCUUGCACGAUGAGGUGGAAUAGUUACAAGCUAUCAGAAUGUAUCACUUCAAGAGGUGGAAACAUUUUCAAUUCUGAUUUUUUUGUACCUGAGCACAAGAAUGUAUAGAAGGAAGAAAGAUGACAACACCUACCUUUCAUUCUUUUCUGUUCUGUAGAGAAUUCAACUCGGACAUAUUAUUGCUUGUACACUUGCUGUUCGGCCUGUAGUUUUGCUUGCUUCCUUUUUCUAGAGAUGUUAGUCUUAUUUUUGUUUUUUCAGCUUUUGGUUAUUUGUCAACCUUAUUGAUGGGUUGCAAUAUUUACUUUUCUUUUCUUUUUUUUAUCAACUCAAUAGUGGCAAGGAGAGUAAACUAAUUUGUUUUCUUAGGUAAUUUGUAGUUUGCCUUUUAUUGGAA